rnacentral:rRNA from 1 species
GAUGAACGCUGGCGGCGUGCCUAAUACAUGCAAGUCGAGCGAACGGACGAGAAGCUUGCUUCUCUGAUGUUAGCGGCGGACGGGUGAGUAACACGUGGAUAACCUACCUAUAAGACUGGGGUAACUUCGGGAAACCGGGGCUAAUACCGGAUAAUAUUUUGAACCGCAUGGUUCAAAAGUGAAAGACGGUCUUGCUGUCACUUAUAGAUGGAUCCGCGCUGCAUUAGCUAGUUGGUAAGGUAACGGCUUACCAAGGCAACGAUGCAUAGCCGACCUGAGAGGGUGAUCGGCCACACUGGAACUGAGACACGGUCCAGACUCCUACGGGAGGCAGCAGUAGGGAAUCUUCCGCAAUGGGCGAAAGCCUGACGGAGCAACGCCGCGUGAGUGAUGAAGGUCUUCGGAUCGUAAAACUCUGUUAUUAGGGAAGAACAUAUGUGUAAGUAACUGUGCACAUCUUGACGGUACCUAAUCAGAAAGCCACGGCUAACUACGUG